rnacentral:rRNA from 1 species
GACGAACGCUGGCGGCGUGCCUAACACAUGCAAGUCGAGCGGAGAAUGCAGAUAUGUUUACAUAGAAGUAUUCUUAGCGGCGGACGGGUGAGUAACACGUGGGUAACCUGCCUCAAAAGUGGGGGAUAGCCUUCCGAAAGGAAGAUUAAUACCGCAUAAGCCUACAGUGCCGCAUGGUACAGCAGGAAAAGGAGCAAUCCGCUUUGAGAUGGACCCGCGGCGCAUUGGCUAGUUAGGUGAGGUAACGGCUCACCAAGGCGACGAUGCGUAGCCGACCUGAGAGGUGAUCGGCACAUUGGAACUGAGACACGGUCCAGACUCCUACGGGAGGCAGCAGUGGGGAAUAUUGCACAAUGGGCGAAAGCCUGA